CUGAACCUUCAAAAAACGAUAACGGCGUCGAGCGGCGGACGGGUGAGUAAUGCCUAGGAAAUUGCCCUGAUGUGGGGGAUAACCAUUGGAAACGAUGGCUAAUACCGCAUGAUGCCUACGGGCCAAAGACCCCGACCUUCGGGCCUCUCGCGUCAGGAUAUGCCUAGGUGGGAUUAGCUAGUUGGUGAGGUAAGGGCUCACCAAGGCGACGAUCCCUAGCUGGUCUGAGAGGAUGAUCAGCCACUAGCGAACUGAGACACGGUCCAGACUCCUACGGGAGGCAGCAGUGGGGAAUAUUGCACAAUGGGCGCAAGCCUGAUGCAGCCAUGCCGCGUGUAUGAAGAAGGCCUUCGGGUUGUAAAGUACUUUCAGUCGUGAGGAAGGUGGUGGCGCCGGUAGCGGUAUCAUUUGACGUUAGCGACAGAAGAAGCACCGGCUAACUCCGUGCCAGCAGCCGCGGUAAUACGGAGGGUGCGAGCGUUAAUCGGAAUUACUGGGCGUAAAGCGCAUGCAGGUGGUUUGUUAAGUCAGAUGUGAAAGCCCGGGGCUCCCAAUCGGAAUAGCAUUUGAAACUGGCAGACUAGAGUACUGUAGAGGGGUAGAAUUUCAGGUGUAGCGGUGAAAUGCGUAGAGAUCUGAAGGAAUACCGGUGGCGAAGGCGGCCCCUGGACAGAUAGCAUCACUCAGAUGCGAAAGCGUGGGAGCAAACAGGAUUAGAUAUUUCGGUAGUCCACGCCGUAAACGAUGUCUACUUGGAGGUUGUGGCC
rnacentral:rRNA from 1 species